CAUGGGCGCAAGCCUGAUCCAGCCAUGCCGCGUGAGUGAUGAAGGCCCUAGGGUUGUAAAGCUCUUUCAACGGUGAAGAUAAUGACGGUAACCGUAGAAGAAGCCCCGGCUAACUUCGUGCCAGCAGCCGCGGUAAUACGAAGGGGGCUAGCGUUGUUCGGAAUUACUGGGCGUAAAGCGCACGUAGGCGGAUCGUUAAGUGAGGGGUGAAAUCCCAGGGCUCAACCCUGGAACUGCCUUUCAUACUGGCGAUCUUGAGUUCGAGAGAGGUGAGUGGAAUUCCGAGUGUAGAGGUGAAAUUCGUAGAUAUUCGGAGGAACACCAGUGGCGAAGGCGGCUCACUGGCUCGAUACUGACGCUGAGGUGCGAAAGCGUGGGGAGCAAACAGGAUUA
rnacentral:rRNA from 1 species